rnacentral:RNase_P_RNA from 1 species
GACGGCUAGAUAACCGCUCUUGUUUUAAUGACAGGGGAGGAACUUCCGGACUCCACAGGGCAGUGCGCCGCUUGAAAGAGCGGGCUGACGGAGCGAAAAUUCCGUCGGAAGGAAAGUGCCACAGAAAAUAUACCGCCCGCAAGGGUAAGGGUGAAAAGGUGCGGUAAGAGCGCACCGCGCGUUUGGCAACAAACGCGGCAGGGUAAACCCCGCACGGAGCAAGGCCAAGCCGGUCCAUACGUAGCCCGCGUUCGCGACCAAGUAGGCCGCCUAGAGUAAUGGUUAUCCGGCCCGCAAGGGCUGACAGAAUCUGGGGUAUCGGCCGUCUA